GAUGAACGCUGGCGGCGUGCCUAAUACAUGCAAGUCGAACGAAGUCUUCGGACUUAGUGGCGAACGGGUGAGUAACACGUUGGUACCUACCCCGAAGUGGGGAAUAACUGCCCGAAAGGGUGGCUAAUACCGCAUAAUACCGCAAGGUUAAAGCAGUAAUGCGCUUCGGGAGGGGCCUGCGUCCCAUUAGCUAGUUGGUAGGGUAAUGGCCUACCAAGGCGACGAUGGGUAGCUGGAUCGAGAGGUUGACCAGCCACACUGGGACUGAGAUACGGCCCAGACUCCUACGGGAGGCAGCAGUAAGGAAUCUUCCACAAUGGGCGAAAGUCUGAUGGAGCCACGCCGCGUGCAGGAUGACGGCCUUCGGGUUGUAAACUGCUUUUAUACGGGAAGAUUAUGACGGUACCGUAUGAAUAAGGACCGGCUAACUACGUGCCAGCCGCCGCCGUAA
rnacentral:rRNA from 1 species